rnacentral:rRNA from 1 species
UACAGAGGGUGCGAGCGUUGUUCGGAAUUACUGGGCGUAAAGCGCGCGCAGGCGGCCUUUUAAGUCCAUCGGUGAAAUGCCGGGGCUCAACCCCGUUGCAGGCCGAGGAUACUGGGAGGCUGGAGACACGUAGAGGCAAGCGGAAUUCCGGGUGUAGCGGUGGAAUGCGUAGAGAUCCGGAAGAACACCGGUGGCGAAGGCAGCUCGCUGGGACGUGACUGACGCUGAGACGCGAAAGCGUGGGGAGCAAACAGGG